rnacentral:rRNA from 1 species
UACGUAGGGGGCUAGCGUUGUCCGGAAUCAUUGGGCGUAAAGAGCGCGUAGGCGGCCAGAUAAGUCCGGUGUGAAAGUCAAAGGCUCAACCUUUGAAUGCCGCUGGAAACUGUCUGGCUAGAGUCCGGGAGGGGCGAGUGGAAUUCCUGGUGUAGCGGUGAAAUGCGUAGAUAUCAGGAAGAACACCGGUGGCGAAAGCGCUCUGCUAGGCCGCAACUGACACUGAGGGACGAAAGCUAGGGGAGCGAAUGGG